GACGAACGCUGGCGGCGUGCUUAACACAUGCAAGUCGAACGAAGUGGCGAACGGGUGAGUAACGCGUAAUCAACCUGCCCUUCAGAGGGGGACAACAGUUGGAAACGACUGCUACUACCGCAUACUGUAGGAGGGGAUUGCGUCUGAUUAGCUAGUGGGAGGGGUAACGGCCCACCAAGGCGAUGAUCAGUAGCCGGUCCUGGAUGAUGAACGGCCAAAUUGGGACCGAGAAACGGCCCAGACCUCUAAGGGAAGCAGCAGUGGGGAAUCAUCCGCAAUGGGGGGAAGGCUGGCGGAGCAAAGGCGGGUGAGUGAUGACGGCCUUCGGGUUGUAAAGCUCUGUUAAUCGGGACGCGGUACCGGAAGAGAAAGCCACGGCUAACUACGUGCCAGCCGCCGCGGUAAUUC
rnacentral:rRNA from 1 species